rnacentral:rRNA from 1 species
CGCGCAGGCGGGAUGGUAAGUCUAACUUAAAAGUGCGGAGCUCAACUCCGUGAGGGGUUGGAAACUACCAUUCUUGAGUGCAGGAGAGGAAAGUGGAAUUCCUAGUGUAGCGGUGAAAUGCGUAGAUAUUAGGAGGAACACCAGUGGCGAAGGCGACUUUCUGGACUGUGUCUGACGCUGAGGCGCGAAAGCCAGGGGAGUGAACG